ensembl:lncRNA
ACGUCCCCGCGCGCCCCGCCCCCCGCGGGGAACGCCCCUCCCGCUCCUGCGAGCAGGGAAGGGCGACACCUCUCAGCAGACGCCGGCGCCGCGAGCGGAAGUGGCUCCUUUGCGCCAGGGCGGAGGCCGGAAGCGUUUCGCCUCCCGCGGGACGAUCGCCGGCCUGGGAGGGAGAUGCGAUCGGCUCCGAGGGAACCUUUGCCAAGGGCAGGCCGCCGGGCCCUGCAAGUCAGGCGAGCGAACGAACGAGACCGGAGGGAGCCAACGGGGCUCGCGUUCUCGUAUUUGUGAAGCCACUGGCACGACUGCAGCGAAGCAGGAUUUGGGUGUUUUUUUCCUUUUACUAUAAAACAGCACCUAAAGGUUUGGGGAGGGUUAAUAAAAAAGUUUUUAAAAAUAAUAAGGGCCCCGAUGAGGGCAACCUACAGCGGGUCCAGAGCUGCUGCGUAAAUUUGACGUCGCCUUAAAAUAAUUCCCGUCAGAGGCCGAGAGUGGAGCUGAGUCCGUGGGUCUCGGUUCCCAGGGCCGCACACUGAAAACUUUUGUUCCUAAAGCAGCUUAUUCUCAAUUGGAAACAUGAACCGUGACAGCUAGGAUAUCGCCACCAGAAAGAACAGCUGUUAGACAUUCUGCGUCUGUGUGUGUUAAAAUUCUACGCGUAGUUCUUAUAACCUACCUUUUGUCUUUAGACGCGUACGAUGUUUAUUAUGUGAGUGAGAAGGUUCAAGUAUGGUGUGGCGCAAACCUGUAAUCCUACCACUUUGGGAGGCUGAAGGGUUCUAGCCCAGCCUGACAAUUGAGUGAUUUAGUGACUUUGGGAGACCCUGUCUCAAAAAGAAAAAAGAUCUGCGGAGGUGGCUCAUUGUGAAGCCCCUGGAUUCACCCCAGUUACACCCAAGGGGAAAAAAGCUGAUUUGUUGUGGCUGGGGUAGUAGGGUAGGGGUUGGGAGUGGAGCUCAGGGUAGAGCACUUGCUUGGCACAGAUGCCCAUGGCCCCCAGCACUGCAAAAGCCCAAAACAAAAAGCUUUUGCACGUUUCUGUAAAAUAAAGACUUACAGUGGAUAUGAAUUUUAACAGACUAUUUGAUAUGUAGUUUAGCCCUCUAAAUGGUAUGGUUGAUUUAUUGCAUCUGGAACCGACUACUUACUGUGUGUAAGGAACCCACCUGAUGUCAAACCCUGUCCAACUUUGCUGUCACUCCCCUGAAAUGAUAAGAAUGUUUUGUGAAAGCUGUGAAUCACCCAUUCUUGGUGUCUUGUCUCCUGUGUGGCAGUGUUGUCCGGUAAGGACCAGACAUCCAUGCUCGAGUCAAGGUAAAUAUUUCACAAGGGCUCCGUGCACUGUAAGCCUGUGAGCUGAGGCCUCUUUGCCUUUUAACUACAAUAGCUCCUUCCUGUGUAUAGACAGGAUGUUGGAGAAAUCCAUUGCUGAGACUUGCUUUCCAACUGGCACCAAGUAUAUAAACUUUAGUUUUCAAAAGUCCGAAUAUAAAUGAACAUUUGAAUUUGUCCUUUGGAGUCUGUUUUUAAAAAGGCUAAAGGCCUCUGAAAUAAAC